GGUUGAUCCUGCCAGCAUUAUACGCUUCGCUUAAAGAUUAAGCCAUGCAUGUCUAAGUAUAAACAGAUUAACUGUGAAACUGCAAAGAGCUCAUUAUAUCAGUAAUAGUUUACUUGAUGAAUCGUCUGAGCGAUCGGAUUACAUGGAUAACUGUGGUAAUUCUAGAGCUAAUACAUGAGUUGAAGGGGGAAGCAAUGACCCCUGAAUUUGUCGGACGAAACCAGGCGGAGGGGCAACUCUCCAUUGGUGAAUUACGAUAACUUUUCUGAUGAAGUGGGGGGCUCGUCCCCCC
rnacentral:rRNA from 1 species